UCUAAGGAAUCUGGAGGGCCCUUCUC
rnacentral:piRNA from 1 species